CGAACGAGAUCCAUUCAGUAGCAAUACUGAUGAAGAUCUAGUGGCGAACGGGUGCGUAACACGUGAGGAACUUGUCCCGGUCUCUGGGAUAACAGGUGGAAACGACUGCUAAUACCGGAUGACGUCGGAACUUCGCAUGGAGUACUGACGAAAGGGUUACUGGAUCGGGAGAGCCUCGCGGCCUAUCAGCUUGUUGGUGGGGUAACGGCCUACCAAGGCAUCGACGGGUAGCUGGUCUGAGAGGAUGAUCAGCCACACUGGGACUGAGACACGGCCCAGACUCCUACGGGAGGCAGCAGUGGGGAAUCUUGCACAAUGGGCGAAAGCCUGAUGCAGCAACGCCGCGUGCGGGAAGAAGGCCCUCGGGUUGUAAACCGCGUCCAGAAGGAACGAAACUGACGGUACUUUCAGAAGAAGGUGCGGCCAACUACGUGCCAGCAGCCGCGGUGACACGUAGGCACCAAGCGUUGUCCGGAUUUAUUGGGCGUAAAGAGCUCGUAGGCGGUUCAGUAAGUCGGGUGUGAAAACUUUGGGCUUAACCCAAAGCGUGCAUCCGAUACUGCUGUGACUUGAGUACGGUAGGGGAGCGGGGAAUUCCUAGUGUAGCGGUGAAAUGCGCAGAUAUUAGGAGGAACACCGGUGGCGAAGGCGCCGCUCUGGGCCGAAACUGACGCUGAGGAGCGGAGGCAUGGGUAGCAAA
rnacentral:rRNA from 1 species